AAGUCGUAACAAGGUUUCCGUAGGUGAACCUGCGGAAGGAUCAUUACACUCAGUAGUUUACUACUGUAAAGGAGGCUGUUAGUCUGUAUAGCGCAAGCUGAUGAGCAGCGGGCCUCUUUUAUCUACCCUUGUCUUUUGCGUACCCACGUUUCCUCGGCAGGCUUGCCUGCCGACUGGACAAACCUAUAACCUUUUUAAUUUUCAAUCAGCGUCUGAAAAACUUAAUAAUUACAA
rnacentral:misc_RNA from 1 species